rnacentral:rRNA from 1 species
GAGUUUGAUCUUGGCUCAGAGCGAACGCUGGCGGCAGGCCUAACACGUGCAAGUCGAACGAACUCUUCGGAGUUAGUGGCGGACGGGUGAGUAACACGUGGGAACGUGCCUUUUGGUUCGGAAUAACUCAGGGAAACUUGUGCUAAUACCGAAUGUGCCCUUCGGGGAAAGAUUUAUCGCCAUUAGAGCGGCCCGCGUCUGAUUAGCUAGUUGGUGAGGUAAAAGCUCACCAAGGCGACGAUCAGUAGCUGGUCUGAGAGGAUGAUCAGCCACAUUGGGACUGAGACACGGCCCAAACUCCUACGGGAGGCAGCAGUGGGGAAUCUUGCGCAAUGGGCGAAAGCCUGACGCAGCCAUGCCGCGUGAAUGAUGAAGGUCUUAGGAUUGUAAAAUUCUUUCACCGGGGACGAUAAUGACGGUACCCGGAGAAGAAGCCCCGGCUAACUUCGUGCCAGCCGCCGCCGUAAC